rnacentral:lncRNA from 1 species
AAAACGCAUUGAUGAUCGUGACGUUACAAGCGUCCAGUCGGAUAGAGUAUUUUUUGGCAAAUACCACGGCAGAGAGGGUAAAAAAGCAUAUCCUUUUAGCAAAUACCCCGGCGGCGUUAAAAAUGAACGAUAUUCAUUUGAUAACAGUACAUUGGUGAAAAAUACACUGGCUAUUAACCAAUCAAAACCCCGGAUUCUUACAUAAGGUGUAAUUAUGACGAAAACCAUCUGAAAAGUGACGUUUUUUGGCAUAUUUGAUAGAUUUUUCAUAUUUAAGUUUCAAUCGGAGCGUUUUUAAUGACUGAAUCAGUUAAAAUCUUUUACAUAAACUAAUCGAAUCAAUUGAAAUAGACACUUAAGUGUUUAAAAAGUGUCCUAAAUAUCUCGUUAGAUGAAACUGAAAUUUGGGGCCAAAAUCGGCCCUUACCGGACUUACUCCUUUAAUCAAACCUAAAUUUAUAAUUUCUAGUCUUGAAGCUUUUUAUAUUUUUGGAACUUAAAUAAAAUAUAAGCAAAUCUAAAUAAACUGUAUUUCAUAUAAGCAAUAUGAAAUCAAAUAAUAAAAUGUGACUACUAGAUCAAUGAGCAGAAAUCAUUCUUGAUAAUUUUGUUAAACCAAAUAUGAACUAUUGCUACAAAACCCUGAGAAAAGCUGCCAUUUAAAAUAAAAAUCUUAACGAUUGUAUCACUGACUGAAGCAAAUUAAAACGGUUUUCAUUUAUUUGCGAUUUAAAACAAUACUGAAAUGUCUUUCCUCUUCUUAAUUUAGCAUGAAAAAUAGACCUAGCAAUGUAUUUAUUUCAACUUUUCAUGCUAAUGGGAUUUAGUUAUAUAAUAAAAACUGGGGUGCUGUCAAAAGAGAUUUUUAGAAAUGUUUUAACUUUUUUGUAACACAGUAAAAUGGG